rnacentral:misc_RNA from 1 species
AAGUCGUAACAAGGUUUCCGUAGGUGAACCUGCGGAAGGAUCAUUAUAGUAUAUCUAUAUCUAGGAUGUGGGGUGCUCUCCGGCCCCCGCCGCCAACCAAUUCGUCAAGUUGCAAAUGACUUUAAUAGUUACCUUGGGUAGGCUUAACUGCCUGUGGAUAAAUCUAAUUCUUUAAUAAACUGGCUGUAAUUAAUGUACUGUCUGAAAUAAUGUUAAUAUUAAA